CCUACGGGGAGCAGCAGUGGGGAAUAUUGCACAAUGGGGGAAACCCUGAUGCAGCGACGCCGCGUGAGUGAAGAAGUAAUUCGUUAUGUAAAGCUCUAUCAGCAGGGAAGAAAAUGACGGUACCUGAGUAAGAAGCCCCGGCUAACUACGUGCCAGCAGCCGCGGUAAUACGUAGGGGGCAAGCGUUAUCCGGAUUUACUGGGUGUAAAGGGAGCGUAGACGGUAGGGCAAGUCUGGAGUGAAAGGCGGGGGCUCAACCCCCGGACUGCUCUGGAAACUGUACGGCUGGAGUGCAGGAGAGGUAGGUGGAAUUACUAGUGUAGCGGUGACAGGCGUAGAUAUUAAGAUGAACACCAG
rnacentral:rRNA from 1 species